GCCUUGUUAACCCUUUCUGUCAGCUUCAUUGAGGAGGAGGGGGCUCCAAAGAGGCUGUCAGUGGGAUGCUGGAGUGCGUCAGAUUGUCUGCGUUUGGAUAAGGCAGUUUGCCCAUUGUUUCUGAUGCCCCAGCUGGGCCCAGGAAUGCCUCCACCCUCCCGAAAUAGAAAGACAGCUGAGAGCUUCCAUGCAUACUGAGGGCAGGGCUGGUCAGCGGGGCCCAGGUCCUCUGACCCACGCCAUAACUAAGUACAAUGAGAGAUGGGCUAUUGUCUGGAGCGCAGAGGAAUUACACUGAUGGCUAAAAGACUAUUAAGUGGCUCUGCUGUAUGUAUGCGUGCGGGUAAAUGACAGGGGGGGGGGGGGGGGGGGAGUAGCAGAGCAGGGCGUGGAGGGGUAAUUGGGGCUUUGGAGUGCAGUUCUGCCACGCGCCUGCCUGACUCCACGCCGAUGAACCCAUGGCUAAGACCUGAGCCCACACAGUUGCUGCAAGAGGAGUCGGUUCUGCGUACAGUCUUCGGGGGAGUUGUCUCCGUGUUUGGACGAGAAGAGUUUGGAGACUCCGUAAAACUAAAGAGGACCUGCGCCGCGGGGCGCGCCGGCAGGACGACUCCUGCAAGGGACGAUUUAAAGGCAAAGCGAGAAGUUUGGUGGAAAGUAAAUGGGAAAAAAAGUCACUCUAGGCGAGUGAAUCUCAUAGGUGAGAAAGAAAUCCCACUAAAGUUUCAUGUGCUGUAUUAUUUGUAAAAGCUAACAUAAACAUGCGGUAUACAUGCCAAUCAUAUCUGACCUAUGACACUCAUUAAUGUACAUUUCAUACAUUCAUAAUGAAAAAUAAGGCCUUUUUUUAAUUAAAGUAAAUAAAACAUGAAACUUUGAUUGUACAUAAAAACAUUAGGAGAAAAAUGUGCAAAAGAGGCAAAUGAAUCUUUGUCAUGUGCAGCAAGGGAUGUUGGGAUUACUGUCAUACUCAGAAAAUAUUGGUCAAGGAGUCAUUUUGGGUUCUUGGGUGGACUACACCUUUUCAUGCAGUUUGUUCAACAAAUACGCUUAGUUUUUCUUUUCUACACUGGUUGGUUGAAGUUCUUCCAUCUUCAGAGUAAAUGAAACUAACCCUGGACCAUCCAGGUAUUCUGGAAUCUUUUUAAUCUCUUGUUUUACUAAACAUUUGCUUUGUUGUGCAACGACUUUGUUUUUAUCCAAAUCUGUACAGUGAUUU
rnacentral:lncRNA from 1 species